UACGAAGGGGGCUAGCGUUGCUCGGAAUUACUGGGCGUAAAGGGCGCGUAGGCGGACAGCUUAGUCAGAGGUGAAAGCCCAGGGCUCAACCUUGGAAUUGCCUUUGAUACUGGCUGUCUUGAGUUUGGGAGAGGUGAGUGGAACUCCGAGUGUAGAGGUGAAAUUCGUAGAUAUUCGGAAGAACACCAGUGGCGAAGGCGACUCACUGGCCCAAUACUGACGCUGAGGCGCGAAAGCGUGGGGAGCAAACAGGA
rnacentral:rRNA from 1 species